AGAAUUUGAUCUUGAUUCAGGAUGAACGCUGGCGGCGUGCUUAACACAUGCAAGUCGAACGAAGCAACUAUCUUGCUUGCAAGAGAGUUGACUUAGUGGCGGACGGGUGAGUAACGCGUGGGUAACCUGCCUCAUACAGGGGGAUAACAGUUGGAAACGACUGCUAAGACCGCAUAACCCGCUAGUGUCGCAUGACACGGACGGAAAAUAUUUAUAGGUAUGAGAUGGGCCCGCGUCUGAUUAGCUAGUUGGUAAGGUAACGGCUUACCAAGGCGACGAUCAGUAGCCGACUUGAGAGAGUGAUCGGCCACAUUGGGACUGAGACACGGCCCAAACUCCUACGGGAGGCAGCAGUGGGGAAUAUUGGACAAUGGGGGAAACCCUGAUCCCAGCGACGCCGCGUGAGUGAAGAAGUAUUUCGGUAUGUAAAGCUCUAUCAGCAGGGAAGAUAAUGACAGUACCUGACUAAGAAGCCCCGGCUAACUACGUGCCAGCCGCCGC
rnacentral:rRNA from 1 species